rnacentral:rRNA from 1 species
UUAAACUGAAGAGUUUGAUCAUGGCUCAGAUUGAACGCUGGCGGCAGGCCUAACACAUGCAAGUCGAGCGGUAACAGAUCUAGCUUGCUAGAUGCUGACGAGCGGCGGACGGGUGAGUAAUGCAUAGGAAUCUGCCCGGUAGUGGGGGAUAACCUGGGGAAACCCAGGCUAAUACCGCAUACGUCCUAC